UACGGAGGGUGCAAACGUUGCUCGGAAUCAUUGGGCGUAAAGCGCACGUGGGCGGCCCGGUAAGUCGGAUGCGAAAGCCCCCGGCUCAACUGAGGAAGUGCAUUCGAAACUGCUGGACUUGAGUACGGGAGAGGGAUGCGGAAUUCCCGGUGUAGAAGUGAAAUUCGUAGAUAUCGGGAGGAACACCAGUGGUGAAGGCGGCAUCCUGGACCGAUACUGACGCUGAGGUGCGAAAGCGUGGGGAGCAAUCAGG
rnacentral:rRNA from 1 species